rnacentral:lncRNA from 1 species
GGAGAGAGGAUGUUCUGCUAAAGCAAGCACAUGAAAGGAUAUGUGAUGAAGGAUUCUUUGCUAAUGUCAUGCAUGUAUUGGUCUGUAUUACAUUGUGUAGUUGAGCUGCGUUUGUCUGGACUCCAUAGAGAGAAACGCACCCAAAAACUUCUGGUGGUAUGCCUCAGCUUCUUGCUGCUUCUGAGGACUCGGCUGAUUGGCAAAGUGAUGUCAUCUGGGACAGACUCACGUACUGAGACAAGAGACAUGGCUCACAGCUAUGCUUCAUUUUCUUUGUGACAGAGAACAGGAAGGGCCUGG